CUUAAAGGAAUUGACGGGACCGCACAGCGGUGAGCAUGCGGUUUAAUUCGACGCAACGACGAAGAACCUUACCGUGGACUUGACAUCGUGGGAAUCCCUAUGAAAGUAGGGAGUGCCCUUCGGGAGCCCCAAGACAGGUGCUGCAUGGCUGUCGUCAGCUCGUGCCGUGAGGUGUCGGGUUAAGUCCCAUAACGAGCGCAACCCUUAUCGUUAGUUGCCAGCUGGUAAAGCAGGGGACUCUAGCAAAACUGCCACCGUAAGGUGAGAGGAAGGUGGGGAUGACGUCAAAUCAGCACGGCCCUUAUGUCCAGGGCUACACACGUGUUACAAUGGCCGGCACAGAGGGCAGCUACCUGGUGACAGGAUGCUAAUCUCGAAAACCGGUCUCAGUUCGGAUCGAAGUCUGCAACUCGACUUCGUGAAGCUGGAUUCGCUAGUAAUCGCGCAUCAGCCAUGGCGCGGUGAAUACGUUCCCGGGCCUU
rnacentral:rRNA from 1 species